rnacentral:rRNA from 1 species
UUUGGAAUAUUGCACAAUGGGGGAAACCCUGAUGCAGCGACGCCGCGUGGAGGAUGAAGGAUCUAGGUCUGUAAACUCCUUUUAUCGGGAAAGACUUAGGACGGUACCCGAUGAAUAAGCACCGGCUAACUACGUGCCAGCAGCCGCGGUAAGACGUAGGGUGCGAGCGUUGUCCGGAUUUACUGGGCGUAAAGGACGCGUAGGCGGUCCGUUAAGUGUGAAGUGAAAUCUCCAGAGCUCAACUCGGAAACUGCUUCGCAUACUGGCGGACUAGAGGGAUGCAGAGGUAGCUAGAAUUCCUGGUGUAGCGGUGAAAUGCGUUGAUAUCAGGAGGAAUACCCAUGGCGAAGGCAGGCUACUGGGCAUCAUCUGACGCUGAGGCGUGAAAGCGUGGGUAGCAAACAGG